rnacentral:misc_RNA from 1 species
UUUCCGUAGGUGAACCUGCGGAAGGAUCAUUACAGAAAGUGCAUAUGUCCUCCUAAUCCGAGGCUUGCACGAUUAAACCCAUGCAUGGGGCGCGUCUGGCUACCACCAAACGGCUGCUCCAUGUUGACCGGUGUAUUGAAAAUUGUAUGCUUGGCGGGAGUUUUAUGGGAUGUGUCACAGUGUUCCAUGCCCGCCAAAGUUUUUAACCACAAUGAAAUAUUUUUAACAUAUUCAAAAAUAACAGUUUUAUUACAACUGUUGGCAACGGAUCACUCGGCUCUCGAAUCGAUGAAGAACGCAGC